rnacentral:rRNA from 1 species
GAUGAACGCUGGCGGCGUGCCUAAUACAUGCAAGUCGAGCGAACAGACGAGGAGCUUUCUCCUCUGACGUUAGCGGCGGACGGGUGAGUAACACGUGGAUAACCUCCCUAUAAGACUGGGAUAACUUCGGGAAACCGGAGCUAAUACCGGAUAAUAUAUUGAACCGCAUGGUUCAAUAGUGAAAGACGGUUUUGCUGUCACUUAUAGAUGGAUCCGCGCCGCAUUAGCUAGUUGGUAAGGUAACGGCUUACCAAGGCAACGAUGCGUAGCCGACCUGAGAGGAUGAUCGGCCACACUGGAACUGAGACACGGUCCAGACUCCUACGGGAGGCAGCAGUAGGGAAUCUUCCACAAUGGGCGAAAGCCUGACGGAGCAACGCCGCGUGAGUGAUGAAGGUCUUCGGAUCGUAAAACUCUGUUAUUAGGGAAGAACAAAUGUGUAAGUAACUAUGCACGUCUUGACGGUACCUAAUCAGAAAGCCACGGCUAACUACGUG